ACAAGUGGUGGAGCGAGGCCGAGAAACCGAAGAUGGAUUAUCGCAACCGGACCGGCCUCGUCCCUUGCGGGUCCGACAAGUACAUUUCGAAACAUGAACUCCUGUCACACCUGAAGACCUACAACCUCUAUUACGAAGGGCAGAACCUGCAGCUUCGACACCGAGAGGAGGAAGGCGAGCUGAUCGUGGAGGGUCUGCUGAACAUCUCCUGGGGGCUGCGGCGGCCCAUCCGCCUGCAGAUGCAGGAUGACCACGAGCGCGUCCGUCCGCCCCCGUCCUCCUCCUCCUGGCACUCCGGCUGCAACCUCGGCCUCCACGGGUCCGGGCCUGCUCCCGCGCCCCUCCCCAUCCCCGACAUCCAGAUCACGGACACCGAGGCCUCGGCAGACGGCGGCCGGAUGCCCAGCCCCGGCGGGAGCGGCGGGCUGAAGCCGCUGGGCGAGGAGGCCCCGCAGCUGCUGCGGACCCGCAGUGACGUGGGCAUCCGGCGUCGCGGGAACGUGCGGACCCCCAGCGAUCAGCGACGCGUCAAGCGCCACCGCUUCUCCAUCAACGGGCACUUCUACAACCACAAGACGUCGGUGUUCACUCCGGCCUACGGCUCCGUCACCAACGUCCGCAUAAACAGCACCAUGACGGCCCCUCAGGUGCUCAGGUUGCUGCUCAACAAGUUCAAGAUCGAAAAUUCUGCCGAAGAAUUUGCCUUGUAUGUUGUCCACACCAGCGGAGAGAAGCAGAAGCUGCGCGGGACGGAUUACCCGCUCAUGGCCCGGAUCCUGCAGGGCCCCUGCGAGCGCGUCUCCCGCCUCUUCCUCAUGGACAGGGACCAGGUGGAGGAAGUCACCUAUGAUGUCGCUCAGUACAUAAAAUUCGAAAUGCCGGUCCUCAAGAGCUUCAUUCAGAAGCUGAAAGAGGAGGAGGACCGCGAAGUGACCAAACUCAAGCACAAGUACACCGGCCUCCGGCUGAGGAUCGAGAGGAGGCUGGAGGAGAUAGCCGAGAGCCCGCCCGCCAUCUGAGCCUCCCCUGCCUCCCCUAAUCCCCCCGCCGUCGGACCCAGGGCGGCCCGGAGCCCAGCCGGGACCUCGGUUGACACGACGGAGCACUGGAGAGGAGCCCUGGAGCGGAGGCCAACCGUCCCCCUCGCCCCGAGACCACCUCGUCCUCGUCCCGGGAAGCUCGGACCCCCCCACGGCCUCCGCCUCCCGCUCCCCCAGGGGAUGCCGAGGGGGUGGCUCUUCUUUGGGCGUAUAUGUGUGUCUGGGGGGGAGUGUGAGGACGUGAGGGUCCGUGUGAGGGGGUGUGUGACAGUGAUAGAGCGAGGGGGGUCUGGGUGAGUGUGUGGGAGAAGGUUUGGGGGAGCGUCUUUGGGUGUGUGGGUGUGUGUCUGUGUGAAAGUGAGAGGGUCUGUGUGACGGGGUCGGAGAAGGUCUGUGGGUGUGGAGGAAGGUCUGCGUGAGUGGGGGUCUGUGUGUGAGUCUGUGUGGGUCUGUGUGAGAGCGAAGGGGUGUGUGGGUGUGUGAGAAUGAGAGGGUCUGUGUGAGUGGGUGGAAGAAGGUCGGUGGGAGGGUGUGUCUGGGUGAGUGAGGGUCUGUGUGUGUGGGUCUGUGGGGCUGUGCAAAAGUCUGUGUGAGUGAGGGUCUCUGUGUGUGUGUGUGUGUGGGUGUGUGAGAGAGAAUGAGAGGGUCUCUGUGAGUGGGUGGAAGAAGGUCAGUGGGAGGGUGUGUCUGUGUGAGUGAGAGUCUGUGUGUGAGUUUGCGUGUGUGUGUGUUUGUGAGAAUGAGAGGUUGUGUGUGAGUAGAUGGAAGAAGGUCUGUGUGAGUGUGUGUCUGUGUGAGUGAGGGCCUACUGUGUGUGGGUCUGUGGUUCUGUGUGGGUCUGUGUGGGUCUGUGUGUGAGUGAAGGUGCCUGUGAGAAUCAGAGGGUCUGUGUGAGUGGGUGGAAGAAGGUCGGGGGGAGUGUGUGUCUGGGUGAGUGAGGGUCUAUGUGUGUGGGGCUGGGUAAAGGUCUGUGUGAAUGAGGGUCUGUGUGUGUGCGUGAGUUUGUGUGGGUCUGUGUGUGUGAGAAUGAGAGGUUGUGUGUGAGUAGAUGGAAGAAGGUCUGUGGGAGUGUGUGUCUGUGUGAGUGAGAGGGUCUCAGUUUGGGAGAGGGUCUUUGUGAGUAGAUGGAAGAAGGUCUGUGGGAAUGUGUGUCUGUGUGGGUCUGUGUGUGAGGAAGGUGUCUGUGUGUAAGAAUGAGAGGGUCUGUGUGAGUGGGUGGAAGGUCGGUGGGAGGGUGUGUCUGUGUGAGUGUGUGGGCCUGUGGGUCUGUGUGAAGGUCUAUGUGAGUGAGGGUCUGUGUGAGUUGGUGUGGGUCUGUGCGGGUGAGAAUGAGAGGUCGUGUGUGAGUGGGUGGAAGAAAGUCGGUGGGAGUGUUUGUGUGAGUGAGGGUCCAUGUGUGUGGGUCUGUGUGGGUGAGGGUCUGUGUGUGUGUGAAUCUCUGUGGGUUUAUGUGUGUGUGAGAGAGAGAGUGAGAGGUUGUGAUUGAAUGUGUAGAAGAAGUUCUGUGGGAAUGUGUGUCUGUGUGUGAGAGGGUCUCGGUUUGGGAGGGUCUGUUUGAGUGAGGGUCUGUGUGUGUGAUUUUGUGGGUGUGUGCGUCUGUGUGCGUUUGAAGGUCUGUGUGAGGGUCUGUGUGGAUGUAUGUAUGUGUGUGAGUCUUUGUGGGUCUUUGUGUGAAUGAAGCUGUGUGUGGGGGUGGGGGGUAGGGUCUGUGUAUGUGAGCGAAGGAGGGUUUGUGUGUGUUUGUGUCUCACAACAAACCACCCCAGCAACAAGGAUCUAGGGCUCUUCCAUCCCCAAGCUCGUGUCCCGGUGGUGUGGCGGUGUGUUGCGUCCCUGAGCCGGGCCUCGGCCUGGGAGUUUUCCCUGCCCGGGUCCAAAAUGGAAAAUGGCGGUGUUCUCCCGUGGAGGAGUAGGGCCGGUGCCCACUGCCCACAGCCCACCUUCCCGCCCUCCCACUGCCCUCCAGUUGACCGGUUGGAACCCAAGUGCCAGUCAGAUUCGGGCAUCCGCCUCAGCUCCUACCCACCCGGUCAAGGCCUUCGACCUCCCGACCUCCCAGCCUCCCGGCCUUCCACCCCCCUCGAGGCUUCCCGGCCUCCCUCCUCCCGGCCUCCUUCUGCCCCCGUGAGGCUUCCCGGCCUCCCUCCUCCCGGCCUCCCUCCU